UCGGGCAUCGACCCAGGAAGAAUCAAUUUUAGACUUAUUGGUAAUCCAUGAUCAACUUCCUUUCGUAGUACCC
rnacentral:tRNA from 1 species